rnacentral:rRNA from 1 species
CCCUCCUUUUCGCAUCCUUGGGGAAUAUUGCGCAAUGGGCGAAAGCAUGACUCCUCUCCUCCUCUUUCUUUCUCCCUUUCUUCGUAUCGUAAACCUCUGUCAGCAGGGAAUAACGGUCACUGUGCUAAUCAGCAGUGAAUUGACGGUACCUGCAAAGGAAGCACCGGCUAACUCCGUGCCAGCAGCCGCGGUAAUACGGAGGGUGCGAGCGUUAAUCGGAAUUACUGGGCGUAAAGCGCUCGUAGGCGGUAUGCCAAGUCAAGGGUGAAAUCCCCGCGCUCAACGUGGGAACUGCCUUUGAAACU